ACGCUCGACACCUACGGGAUGCAGCAGUGGGGAAUAUUGCACAAUGGGGGAAACCCUGAUGCAGCGACGCCGCGUGAAGGAUGAAGUAUUUCGGUAUGUAAACUUCUAUCAGCAGGGAAGAAAGUGACGGUACCUGACUAAGAAGCCCCGGCUAACUACGUGCCAGCAGCCGCGGUAAUCUGAGCGGGCUGGCAAGGC
rnacentral:rRNA from 1 species